UUAAUCGAAAUCGGUAACUUGAUCAUUCGUUACAUACAAGGCGAGUUAAUUAAACGAGAGAGGUAGUGAGCGAAUGAACCUGACGGACGUUCGAAGUGAACUUCUUUGAAGUCUAAUCUCUAAUGGAACAGCCAUUGCAAUUAGGUAUACCAGUGCAGAAAAUUUGACCGGACCCUGGUCGGGCCCAGACCAGGCACGACCGGGGCCAGAUCUGGCAACCUGAUCAGGGACCGAUCGAAAUAAAUCAGGGAACCCGACCAGGGCCAUGGUAAUUUGCCCGUUCUUAUAGUAAUUGUAAUUUUCAAUAAAUUAUAAUUAUUUUUGUCUAAUUAAUAAAUAAAACAAUAAAAUUUA